UUAAGCGACUAAGCGUACACGGUGGAUGCCCUGGCAGUCAGAGGCGAUGAAGGACGUGCUAAUCUGCGAAAAGCGCCGGCGAGGUGAUAUGAACCUUUGACCCGGCGAUGUCCGAAUGGGGAAACCCAGUGCAAUCCGUUGCACUAUCGUUAACUGAAUACAUAGGUUAACGAGGCGAACCGGGGGAACUGAAACAUCUAAGUACCCCGAGGAAAAGAAAUCAACCGAGAUUCCCCCAGUAGCGGCGAGCGAACGGGGAGCAGCCCGGAGUCUGAAUCAGCUUGUGUGUUAGUGGAACGGUCUGGAAAGUCCGACGGUACAGGGUGAUAGUCCCGUACACGAAAGCACACUUGCUGUGAACUCGAAGAGUAGGGCGGGACACGUGGUAUCCUGUCUGAAUAUGGGGGGACCAUCCUCCAAGGCUAAAUACUCCUGACUGACCGAUAGUGAACCAGUACCGUGAGGGAAAGGCGAAAAGAACCCCGGCGAGGGGAGUGAAAAAGAACCUGAAACCGUGUACGUACAAGCAGUGGGAGCCUCUUUAUGGGGUGACUGCGUACCUUUUGUAUAAUGGGUCAGCGACUUAUAUUCUGUAGCAAGGUUAACCGUAUAGGGGAGCCGAAGGGAAACCGAGUCUUAACUGGGCGUUAAGUUGCAGGGUAUAGACCCGAAACCCGGUGAUCUAGCCAUGGGCAGGUUGAAGGUUGGGUAACACUAACUGGAGGACCGAACCGACUAAUGUUGAAAAAUUAGCGGAUGACCUGUGGCUGGGGGUGAAAGGCCAAUCAAACCGGGAGAUAGCUGGUUCUCCCCGAAAGCUAUUUAGGUAGCGCCUCGUGAACUCAUCUUCGGGGGUAGAGCACUGUUUCGGCUAGGGGGCCAUCCCGGCUUACCAACCCGAUGCAAACUACGAAUACCGAAGAAUGUUAUCACGGGAGACACACGGCGGGUGCUAACGUCCGUCGUGAAGAGGGAAACAACCCAGACCGCCAGCUAAGGUCCCAAAGUCAUGGUUAAGUGGGAAACGAUGUGGGAAGGCACAGACAGCCAGGAUGUUGGCUUAGAAGCAGCCAUCAUUUAAAGAAAGCGUAAUAGCUCACUGGUCGAGUCGGCCUGCGCGGAAGAUGUAACGGGGCUAAACCAUGCACCGAAGCUGCGGCAGCGACGCUUAUGCGUUGUUGGGUAGGGGAGCGUUCUGUAAGCCGUUGAAGGUGUGCUGUGAGGCAUGCUGGAGGUAUCAGAAGUGCGAAUGCUGACAUAAGUAACGAUAAAGCGGGUGAAAAGCCCGCUCGCCGGAAGACCAAGGGUUCCUGUCCAACGUUAAUCGGGGCAGGGUGAGUCGACCCCUAAGGCGAGGCCGAAAGGCGUAGUCGAUGGGAAACAGGUUAAUAUUCCUGUACUUGGUGUUACUGCGAAGGGGGGACGGAGAAGGCUAUGUCAGCCGGGCGACGGUUGUCCCGGUUUAAGCAUGUAGGCGGAGGUUCCAGGUAAAUCCGGUACCUUAUUAACGCUGAGGUGUGAUGACGAGGCACUACGGUGCUGAAGUGAUAAAUGCCCUGCUUCCAGGAAAAGCCUCUAAGCAUCAGGUAACACGAAAUCGUACCCCAAACCGACACAGGUGGUCAGGUAGAGAAUACCAAGGCGCUUGAGAGAACUCGGGUGAAGGAACUAGGCAAAAUGGUGCCGUAACUUCGGGAGAAGGCACGCUGAUGUGUAGGUGAAGUCCCUGCGGACGGAGCUGAAAUCAGUCGAAGAUACCAGCUGGCUGCAACUGUUUAUUAAAAACACAGCACUGUGCAAACACGAAAGUGGACGUAUACGGUGUGACGCCUGCCCGGUGCCGGAAGGUUAAUUGAUGGGGUUAGCGGCAACGCGAAGCUCUUGAUCGAAGCCCCGGUAAACGGCGGCCGUAACUAUAACGGUCCUAAGGUAGCGAAAUUCCUUGUCGGGUAAGUUCCGACCUGCACGAAUGGCGUAAUGAUGGCCAGGCUGUCUCCACCCGAGACUCAGUGAAAUUGAACUCGCUGUGAAGAUGCAGUGUACCCGCGGCAAGACGGAAAGACCCCGUGAACCUUUACUAUAGCUUGACACUGAACACUGGUCCUUGAUGUGUAGGAUAGGUGGGAGGCUUUGAAGCGUGGACGCCAGUCUGCGUGGAGCCAACCUUGAAAUACCACCCUUUAAUGGCUGGUGUUCUAACGUAGACCCGUAAUCCGGGUUGCGGACAGUGUCUGGUGGGUAGUUUGACUGGGGCGGUCUCCUCCCAAAGAGUAACGGAGGAGCACGAAGGUUGGCUAAUCCUGGUCGGACAUCAGGAGGUUAGUGCAAUGGCAUAAGCCAGCUUGACUGCGAGCGUGACGGCGCGAGCAGGUGCGAAAGCAGGUCAUAGUGAUCCGGUGGUUCUGAAUGGAAGGGCCAUCGCUCAACGGAUAAAAGGUACUCCGGGGAUAACAGGCUGAUACCGCCCAAGAGUUCAUAUCGACGGCGGUGUUUGGCACCUCGAUGUCGGCUCAUCACAUCCUGGGGCUGAAGUAGGUCCCAAGGGUAUGGCUGUUCGCCAUUUAAAGUGGUACGCGAGCUGGGUUUAGAACGUCGUGAGACAGUUCGGUCCCUAUCUGCCGUGGGCGCUGGAGAAUUGAGGGGGGCUGCUCCUAGUACGAGAGGACCGGAGUGGACGCAUCACUGGUGUUCGGGUUGUCAUGCCAAUGGCACUGCCCGGUAGCUAAAUGCGGAAGAGAUAAGUGCUGAAAGCAUCUAAGCACGAAACUUGCCCCGAGAUGAGUUCUCCCUGAGACUUUAAGUCUCCUGAAGGAACGUUGAAGACGACGACGUUGAUAGGUCGGGUGUGUAAGCGCAGCGAUGCGUUGAGCUAACCGAUACUAAUGAACCGUGAGGCUUAACCU
rnacentral:rRNA from 1 species